rnacentral:rRNA from 1 species
AAUAAACGCUUGGCGGCACGCGUUAACACAUGCAAGUCGAACGGCAGCAUGAAUCAACUUCGGUUGAUUUGAUGGCGAGUGGCGAACGGGUGAGUAACGCGUAGGAAUAUGCCUUAAAGAGGGGGAUAACUCGGGGAAACUCGAGCUAAUACCGCGUAAGCUCUACGGAGUAAAGCAUGGGACCUUCGGGCCAUGCGCUUUAAGAAUAGCCUGCGUCCGAUUAGCUAGUUGGUGGGGUAAAGGCCUGCCAAGGCGAUGAUCGGUAGCUGGUCUGAGAGGAUGGACAGCCACACUGGGACUGAGACACGGCCCAGACUCCUACGGGAGGCAGCAGUGGGGAAUAUUGGACAAUGGGGGCAACCCUGAUCCAGCGAUGCCGCGUGUGUGAAGAAGGCCCGAGGGUUGUAAAGCACUUUUAGUGGGGAGGAAAGGGUACAGGUUAAGAGCUAGUAUCUGUGACGUUACCCACCAUAAACAGCACCGGCUAACUCCGUGCCAGCAGCCGCGGUAAUACGGGGGGUGCAAGCGUUAAUCGGAGUUAUUGGGCGUAAAGGGUGCGUAUGUUGUUCGUUAAGUUAUGUGGGAAAUACCUGGGCUUAACCUGGGAAUGUCGGAUAAUACUGAUGAACUUGAGUAUAGUAGAGGGUAGUGGAAUUCCCCGUGUAGCGGUGAAAUGCCUAAAGAUCUGAAGGACACCACGUGCCGAAGGCGGCUACCUGGACUAAUACUGACACUGAGGCCCGAAAGCGUGGGGAGCAAACAGAAUAUAUACCCUGGUUA